UACGUAGGGGGCUAGCGUUGUCCGGAAUCAUUGGGCGUAAAGAGCGUGUAGGCGGCCCGGUAAGUCCGCUGUGAAAGUCCAGGGCUCAACCCUGGGAUGCCGGUGGAUACUGUCGAGCUCGAGUCCGGAAGAGGCGAGUGGAAUUCCUGGUGUAGCGGUGAAAUGCGCAGAUAUCAGGAGGAACACCAAUGGCGAAGGCAGCUCGCUGGGACGUGACUGACGCUGAGACGCGAAAGCGUGGGGAUCAAACAGG
rnacentral:rRNA from 1 species